rnacentral:rRNA from 1 species
CCUACGGGAGGCAGCAGUGAGGAAUAUUGGGCAAUGGACGGAAGUCUGACGCAGCCAUGCCGCGUGCAGGAUGACGGCUCUAUGAGUUGUAAACUGCUUUUGUACGGGAAUAAGAGUUCUUACGUGUAGGGAUUUGAAUGUAUCGUACCAAUAAGGAUCGGCGAAAUCCGUGCCAGCAGCCGCGGUAAGACGGUGGAUUCGAGCGUUGUCCGGAUUUGUUGGGCGUAAAGGGUACGUCUGCUGUAGGAUAAGUUAAAGGUCAAAUGUCGGGGCUUAACCCCGGGACUGCCUCUGAUACUGUUCGACUAGAGAGCGGAUGCAGAAGGUGGAAUGAGUAGUGUAGCGGUGAAAUGCGUAGAUAUUACGAAGAACACCGAUGGCGAAGGCAGCUAGCUAAUCCGUAUCUGACGCUGAUGCACGAAAGCGUGGGUAGCGAACAGGAUUAGAUACCCUGGUAGUC